UGGGUGAGUAACACGUGGGUAACCUGCCCUAAAGUCUGGGAUACCACUUGGAAACAGGUGCUAAUACCGGAUAACAACAAUAGCUGCAUGGCUAUUGCUUAAAAGGCGGCGAAAGCUGUCGCUAAAGGAUGGACCCGCGGUGCAUUAGCUAGUUGGUAAGGUAAUGGCUUACCAAGGCGACGAUGCAUAGCCGAGUUGAGAGACUGAUCGGCCACAUUGGGACUGAGACACGGCCCAAACUCCUACGGGAGGCAGCAGUAGGGAAUCUUCCACAAUGGGCGAAAGCCUGAUGGAGCAACGCCGCGUGAGUGAAGAAGGUUUUCGGAUCGUAAAGCUCUGUUGUUGGUGAAGAAGGAUAGAGGUAGUAACUGGCCCCUAUUUGACGGUAAUCAACCAGAAAGUCACGGCUAACUACGUGCCAGCAGCCGCGGUAAUACGUAGGUGGCAAGCGUUGUCCGGAUUUAUUGGGCGCAAAGCGAGCGCAGGCGGAAAGAUAACUCUGAUGUGAAAGCCCCCGGCUUAAC
rnacentral:rRNA from 1 species